rnacentral:rRNA from 1 species
UGGGGAAUUUUGGACAAUGGGCGAAAGCCUGAUCCAGCAAUGCCGCGUGUGUGAAGAAGGCCUUCGGGUUGUAAAGCACUUUUGUCCGGAAAGAAAUCCUUGGCUCUAAUACAGUCGGGGGAUGACGGUACCGGAAGAAUAAGCACCGGCUAACUACGUGCCAGCAGCCGCGGUAAUACGUAGGGUGCAAGCGUUAAUCGGAAUUAUCGGGCGUAAAGCGUGCGCAGGCGGUUUGCUAAGACCGAUGUGAAAUCCCCGGGCCCAACCUGGGAACUGCAUUGGUGACUGGCAGGCUAGAGUAUGGCAGAGGGGGGUAGAAUUCCACGUGUAGCAGUGAAAUGCGUAGAGAUGUGGAGGAAUACCGAUGGCGAAGGCAGCCCCCUGGGCCAAUACUGACGCUCAUGCACGAAAGCGUGGGGAGCAAACAGGAUUAGAUACCCUGGUAGUCCACGCCCUAAACGAUGUCAACUAGUUGUUGGGGAUUCAUUUCCUUAGU